rnacentral:lncRNA from 1 species
GCCGGCCACGUUGAUGUUUUUCGGCGGCGGCGGCGGCUUUGCUCCCUCCAUAGGCUGCCGUCGGCCACGUUGCUGUUCUUCGAUCAUCGGAGAUUUUGUGCUACGUCGCUGUUCCUAAUGUGAUCAAUUUAUUUAUCCCUAAUCCUAUUUUCCUCGUAGCAUGGACCAUGCAGAUCGAUGGGGAGAUGAUUGAUUCCAUCACAUCUUGUUAUCUCACUUCGUUCAUCGAAUCAUCGGCUUGGCUUCCGCUAGCAUCUUGAGGUUUCAUGCAUCCAACUGUACGUGCUGAAUCUUCGUAGUUUGGCGGCGCAUAUUAGUCGGCGUUCGUCUCUACAGGUGCUUAUUAGAUUGGAUCGUCCGGGCUCCGGCAACGAAGCACCCUGAUCACUGACCAGUAGGACGGAGGCACAGAUUUAUAAUUAGUUUCUCCAGUUUCAUAUAAGAGUGUUUGGAUAGUUGUUUUAGAUAAAAGUAUGUGUUUGGAUAUACUUUAUGCAUAUUAGAGUAUCAUCUGAUAAUCAUAUCACGCAGUAUCACUUCAUACUUUGUUCAG